rnacentral:rRNA from 1 species
GAUGAACGCUGGCGGCGUGCCUAAUACAUGCAAGUCGAGCGAACGGACGAGAAGCUUGCUUCUCUGAUGUUAUCGGCGGACGGGUGAGUAACACGUGGAUAACCUACCUAUAAGACUGGGAUAACUUCGGGAAACCGGAGCUAAUACCGGAUAAUAUUUUGAACCGCAUGGUUCAAAAGUGAAAGACGGUCUUGCUGUCACUUAUAGAUGGAUCCGCGCUGCAUUAGCUAGUUGGUAAGGUAACGGCUUACCAAGGCAACGAUGCAUAGCCGACCUGAGAGGGUGAUCGGCCACACUGGAACUGAGACACGGUCCAGACUCCUACGGGAGGCAGCAGUAGGGAAUCCUCCGCAAUGGGCGAAAGCCUGACGGAGCAACGCCGCGUGAGUGAUGAAGGUCUUCGGAUCGUAAAACUCUGUUAUUAGGGAAGAACAUAUGUGUAAGUAACUGUGCACAUCUUGACGGUACCUAAUCAGAAAGCCACGGCUAACUACGUG